rnacentral:lncRNA from 1 species
CUACUUUCAUUCUUCUUCUACUUCAGUUUCUAGUUGUUAAGCGUGGGGGUUCUCAUGAUUCGCUGUUCUAAGGUGUAGAGUAUAACAAUGUAUGAAUCCUCGACUUGUUGAGAAAAGUUAUCGAUCAAGUAUGCAUAUGUGGUUCGCUAUAUCUUUCUGUAAUAUUUCUCAUCCUAUGUUUCGAAUUUCUUUUAUAUGAAGUGAGGGAAGUGAAAUGCAUAUAUGAAGAUAGUGAACUGAAAAUAGCAUGAAAUACCUUGAAUGGUUUUGUUGGUUGGUUAUUGUUUGAAUGAACUGAUUCUUGAAAAUGCUUUGGCAGAGAAUGAUGAAGAGCAGUGCAGUCUUUCCUCUUUUUGCUAGGAACGUUUGUGGAAUGGGAAUGAGGAGAUUAUGCUUGGUUGAUGUUCUGUAUGAAUGGUGAUUUUGCUUCGUUUAAAAUCCUUUGCAGCUGCUAAGGAUUUUAGGUAAGUGAGGAUGCCUUUUAUAGGGAGUAAAUACUGAAGCUGAUAGUGUGAAAAUAUGGUGAAUAGUGCGGCUAAAUUGAGGCGUGGUUGAAGAAUUUAAUUGAUGAGAUUUUCUGCUGACAAUUGAGAUUUGUCUGUUGAAUAUUUUCUUUGACUAUGUAGGAGUGAAAUAAAAACUAAGCACGGGUGAGAAUAGAGUGGCUGAGGU